GGAAGGUAAUGUGUCUUGUUUGAAGUCAUCAUGUGAGAAGUUCGGCUUUGCUCAGUGGAUCGCCCACCACUUGGUGUGACUUAUGAAUCUAAUAACCCUUCGCAAUAUCCGCAAAGCUUCAACUCUCAUCCACCUUGGCGACUACAGAAGACAAAGCAACUGGCAUCGAUGUUGAAAAACCUAUAGAUUUACGCAAACGCCCUCAUUCUGAGAGACACGUUUCCCUUUGAGUUCUUACGUGAUUCUAAUGAAUGAGCGAGGUUACCAAUGACUGUCCAAUUGCCCUGCUAUAUAGCGGGCGUUUCCUGAAGCAGCUUUCUCAACGCCUGUCACUGAGCCCUAGCACAAAAAGUUCCCAGAGAAAGUGAGGGAGUUUCAGAGUACCCCCAUAAAAAUAAUCCAAUUUGCACGCCGAUCCUUUGCCCACUGCUCAGGUCACACCUGGGGCUCUGGCAAAGAUGAGCUCGGCUCAGGAGAUUUCCCUGUCGCCAGUGUUUUCUUCUCUUAUUCAUCACCUCAAGAUUGCUAGUUACAAUCCAUGCAGGAAAGUGGCCACUGAGAAGCUUCAGAUGGUAGCAA
rnacentral:lncRNA from 1 species